UUGGAAUCGCUAGUAAUCGCGGAUCAGCAUGCCGCGGUGAAUACGUUCCCGGGCCUUGUACACACCGCCCGUCACACCAUGAGAGUCGGGAACACCCGAAGUCCGUAGUCUAACCGCAAGGGGGACGCGGCCGAAGGUGGGUUCGAUAAUUGGGGUGAAGUCGUAACAAGGUACC
rnacentral:rRNA from 1 species